rnacentral:rRNA from 1 species
UACGUAGGGAGCAAGCGUUGUCCGGAUUUACUGGGUGUAAAGGGUGCGUAGGCGGCACUGCAAGUCAGGCGUGAAAUAUAUGGGCUUAACCCAUAGACUGCGUUUGAAACUGUGGUGCUUGAGUGAAGUAGAGGUAGGCGGAAUUCCCGGUGUAGCGGUGAAAUGCGUAGAGAUCGGGAGGAACACCAGUGGCGAAGGCGGCUUACUGGGCUUUAACUGACGCUGAGGCACGAAAGCAUGGGUAGCAAACAGGAUUAGAUACCCUGGUAGUCCAUGCCGUAAACGAUGAUUACUAGGUGUGGGGGGUCUGACCCCUUCCGUGCCGGAGUUAACACAAUAAGUAAUCCACCUGGGGAGUACGGCCGCAAGGUUGAA